UGGGGAAUUUUGGACAAUGGGCGAAAGCCUGAUCCAGCAAUGCCGCAUGUGUGAAGAAGGCCUUCGGGUUGUAAAGCACUUUUGUCCGGAAAGAAAUCCUUGGCUCUAAUACAGUCGGGGGAUGACGGUACCGGAAGAAUAAGCACCGGCUAACUACGUGCCAGCAGCCGCGGUAAUACGUAGGGUGCAAGCGUUAAUCGGAAUUACUGGGCGUAAAGCGUGCGCAGGCGGUUUGCUAAGACCGAUGUGAAAUCCCCGGGCUCAACCUGGGAACUGCAUUGGUGACUGGCAGGCUAGAGUAUGGCAGAGGGGGGUAGAAUUCCACGUGUAGCAGUGAAAUGCGUAGAGAUGUGGAGGAAUACCGAUGGCGAAGGCAGCCCCCUGGGCCAAUACUGACGCUCAUGCACGAAAGCGUGGGGAGCAAAACAGGAUUAGAUACCCUGGUAGUCCACGCCCUAAACGAUGUCAACUAGUUGUUGGGGAUUCAUUUCCUUAGUAACGUAGCUAACGCGUGAAGUUGACCGCCUGGGGAGUACGGUCGCAAGAUUAAAACUCAAAGGAAUUGACGGGGUCAUAGCUGUUUCCU
rnacentral:rRNA from 1 species